GGUCAAGCGAACAAGUGCAUGUGGUGGAUGCCUUGGCGAUCACAGGCGAUGAAGGACGCGGUAGCCUGCGAAAAGCUACGGGGAGCUGGCAAACGAGCUUUGAUCCGUAGAUGUCCGAAUGGGGAAACCCACUCCUUUUGGAGUAUCCAUGGCUGAAUACAUAGGCCAUGCGAAGCGAACGCGGUGAACUGAAACAUCUAAGUAACCGCAGGAAAAGAAAUCAACCGAGAUUCCCAAAGUAGUGGCGAGCGAAAUGGGAUGAGCCUUGUACUCUUUAUUUGUAUUGUUAGCCGAACGCUCUGGAAAGUGCGGCCAUAGCGGGUGAUAGCCCCGUAGGCGAAAACAGUAUGAAAGAACUAAGUGUACGACAAGUAGGGCGGGACACGUGAAAUCCUGUCUGAAGAUGGGGGGACCAUCCUCCAAGGCUAAAUACUCGUGAUCGACCGAUAGUGAACCAGUACCGUGAGGGAAAGGCGAAAAGAACCCCGGGAGGGGAGUGAAAUAGAUCCUGAAACCGCAUGCAUACAAACAGUCGGAGCCUCG
rnacentral:rRNA from 1 species